rnacentral:rRNA from 1 species
UACGUAGGGUGCGAGCGUUGUCCGGAAUUAUUGGGCGUAAAGAGCUUGUAGGCGGUUUGUCGCGUCUGCCGUGAAAUUUCGGGGCUCAACCCCGAACUUGCGGUGGGUACGGGCAGACUAGAGUGUGGUAGGGGAGACUGGAAUUCCUGGUGUAGCGGUGAAAUGCGCAGAUAUCAGGAGGAACACCGGUGGCGAAGGCGGGUCUCUGGGCAACAACUGACGCUGAGGAGCGAAAGCGUGGGGAGCGAACAGG